rnacentral:rRNA from 1 species
AGAGUUUGAUCAUGGCUCAGAACGAACGCUGGCGGCAGGCCUAACACAUGCAAGUCGAACGCGACUUCGGUCGAGUGGCGCACGGGUGAGUAACGCGUGGGAACGUGCCCUAUGGUACGGAAUAACACCGGGAAACUGGUGCUAAUACCGUAUAAGCCCCGAGGGGGAAAGAUUUAUCGCCAUAGGAGCGGCCCGCGUAGGAUUAGCUAGUUGGUGAGGUAAAAGCUCACCAAGGCGACGAUCCUUAGCUGGUCUGAGAGGAUGAUCAGCCACACUGGGACUGAGACACGGCCCAGACUCCUACGGGAGGCAGCAGUGGGGAAUAUUGGACAAUGGGGGAAACCCUGAUCCAGCCAUGCCGCGUGAGUGAUGAAGGCCUUCGGGUUGUAAAGCUCUUUCGCACGCGACGAUGAUGACGGUAGCGUGAGAAGAAGCCCCGGCUAACUUCGUGCCAGCAGCCGCGGUAAUACGAAGGGGGCAAGCGUUGUUCGGAAUUACUGGGCGUAAAGGGCGCGUAGGCGGUGCGCUAAGUCAGAUGUGAAAGCCCUGGGCUUAACCCGGGAAUUGCAUUUGAUACUGGCGCGCUUGAAUCCGGGAGAGGUUGGUGGAAUUCCCAGUGUAGAGGUGAAAUUCGUAGAGAUUGGGAAGAACACCGGUGGCGAAGGCGGCCNCUGGACCGGUAUUGACGCUGAGGCGCGAAAGCGUGGGGAGCAAACAGGAUUAGAUACCCUAGUAGUCC